UGCGUAGGCGGCCCGCUAAGUAGGGUGUGAAAUGCCAGAGCUCAACUUGGCAUUGCGCUCUAGACUGACGGGCUUGAGUGAGAUAGGGGUGUGCGGAACUUCCAGUGGAGCGGUGAAAUGUGUUGAUAUUGGAAGGAACGCCGGUGGCGAAAGCGGCACACUGGGUCUUAACUGACGCUGAGGCAAGACCAGGUAGCGAACG
rnacentral:rRNA from 1 species